GUCCCAGCAAGGAUCCAGUAUGGCUAGUGUAGCAGAAGCCAGAGGCCUCGAACCAGACCAAUGACUCACUGCAAUGAACACUUGCAAGUAAAAAAAGCUGUUUGGACAAAAGGGUACACUGGGACACACAGCAGUUUCUACAACUGAGAGCUGCUGAGCUAGAGGAAGACACAAAUUACCAAUAUCAGGACUGAAGGAGGUAGCACGCUGUGCAUGUCAGCAACAUAAAAACUGGGACUCCCUCAAAUGGAAGGAAGCUGAGCUGCAAAGAAGACUCCGAGACCAGACCACCAUGCC